rnacentral:rRNA from 1 species
UACAGAGGGGGCAAGCGUUGUUCGGAAUCACUGGGCGUAAAGGGUGCGUAGGCGGCGGGGAAAGUCAGAUGUGAAAUCCGGAGGCUCAACCUCCGAAUUGCAUCCGAUACUCCCUCGCUAGAGAUUUGUAGAGGAGUCUGGAAUUCUCGGUGUAGCAGUGAAAUGCGUAGAUAUCGAGAAGAACGCUCGCAGCGAAGGCGAGACUCUGGGCAAAUUCUGACGCUGAUGCACGAAGGCUAGGGGAGCAAACGGG